AACCCGGUGAUCUAGCCAUGGGCAGGUUGAAGGUUGGGUAACACUAACUGGAGGACCGAACCGACUAAUGUUGAAAAAUUAGCGGAUGACUUGUGGCUGGGGGUGAAAGGCCAAUCAAACCGGGAGAUAGCUGGUUCUCCCCGAAAGCUAUUUAGGUAGCGCCUCGUGAAUUCAUCUCCGGGGGUAGAGCACUGUUUCGGCAAGGGGGUCAUCCCGACUUACCAACCCGAUGCAAACUGCGAAUACCGGAGAAUGUUAUCACGGGAGACACACGGCGGGUGCUAACGUCCGUCGUGAAGAGGGAAACAACCCAGACCGCCAGCUAAGGUCCCAAAGUCAUGGUUAAGUGGGAAACGAUGUGGGAAGGCCCAGACAGCCAGGAUGUUGGCUUAGAAGCAGCCAUCAUUUAAAGAAAGCGUAAUAGCUCACUGGUCGAGUCGGCCUGCGCGGAAGAUGUAACGGGGCUAAACCAUGCAC
rnacentral:rRNA from 1 species